rnacentral:rRNA from 1 species
GUCAUUGCGAUAGUAAUCCUGAUCAGUAAGAGCGGAACCACAGGUUCAGACCCUUGGUGCAUGUGCUUAGUCGAGACACCAGUGGUGCGAAGCUACUAUCCGCGGUAUUACGACUCAAUGCCUUUAAGUCAGAAUCCCGUCUAAGCAGUGCGAUGAU